rnacentral:rRNA from 1 species
CCCUUAGAUGUCCUGGGCCGCACGCGCGCUACACUGACAUGUUCAACAAGUUUCUCCUAGUUCGACAGGACUGGGAAAUCUUUGAACGCAUGUCGUGAUAGGGAUAGAUCAUUGCAAUUAUUGAUCUUGAACGAGGAAUUCCUAGUAAACGCGAGUCAUCAGCUCGCAUCGAUUACGUCCCUGCCCUUUGUACACACCGCCCGUCGCACCUACCGAUUGAAUGUUUCGGUGAAGAUUCCGGAUAGGACUGAUUUGAUUUAUUUCAUUUCUGACCUAAAAGCUAUCUAAACCUCAACAUUUAGAGGAAGGUGAAGUCGUAACA